rnacentral:lncRNA from 1 species
CUAGUGGAGAAGACAGAUAUGAAACAUAUGAAAAAAAGCUUAUGUGUCCCUUCUCUUCUGCCUAGGGUCCUCAAGGUCAUAGAACCCCAUAACCCCAUUAGGUGUCAGGGGCAGAAACAGGACUGUGUGAAGAUUCACAGCCUCCCCCUCCCUUGCCUUCACGGAGCUUCGGCAUCUACCCUUAUUCCAGGCGGCUGCUCAGGGGCACCGUUCUACCCCUUUCUGCCUGGAGAAACUGCCGUUUUUCCUUAAAGGAUCCUCGAAGCCGGAAGGAGCAGCCACCUCCCACUCCCGGCUGCUGCAAGCAAGCUGCUUUGACCUCUUUCUAGAGUUGGGGAUUGCUGCUGGAGUCCGAGUCUCAGGCCCAGAGUGGGUGCGAUGGUCUUGCUUGCACCCUGUAUCCCCCGGCAGACGCCCGGGAACUCUACUAAGUGGGUGACCCCAGAGAGCUCGCCCCCACACUCCGACUCCGAGUCCAGCACUCGGUCCACUGCACAGGGACCUCGCGCCCCACAGCUGCGUCCUCUCUGACCUUCGCGAUCCGGUGCGCGGCCCGCGGAACGCCCCGAUCUCCAGGAGCACGGAAGGCCGAGGCGUGCCGGGGGAGCCAGGAGCAGCUGGCUGGCGGGCGCCGCGGGCCUCCCCGGUCACGUGACACCCCGGGCAACGUGCGCCGUCACCUGACGGCGGAGCCUGUGAACGUUUUUCUCACGUGACGGAGGCGCCUGCACGUGGACCAAUGGGGAGGCGGGGGCGGGGCCGGCAGGGGCGGUGCGCGGGAAGGGACCCCGGACCCGGAGGUCGCGGAGAGCUGGGCAGUGUUGGCCGCUGGCGGAGCGCUGGGGCAGCAUGAAGUGCCUGGUCACGGGCGGCAACGUGAAGGGUGAGUGCAGGUCGGCCUGGCAGCGGCGGUGCAGCAGCCGCGGAGCCGCCAGCCUAACCCCCUUCCGCUCUCCUCCCCGCAGUGCUCGGCAAGGCCGUCCACUCCCUGUCCCGCAUCGGGGACGAGCUCUACCUGGAACCCUUGGAGGACGGGGUGAGGGGCU